rnacentral:lncRNA from 1 species
UGACAAAAUCCAAUGAGUUUUUCAAAUAUAACAUCAAAACUAAAUACAUGAGUUUGGGAUAGAAAAGUGCCGUAACACGUCUUAUAGUAAUGCGAAUUCACACUCAGAAAAACAGUCACAAUCGGGAAUAAGUCAUGUCCGGUAAUUAAAAGAUUAGACGACGUAAUGGUAAACCACAAUCUACCAUGUGGUAAAAAUAUCCUUAGCUAGUUUGGUCAAAGACACAACAAUUCAAACCAAACAAUACAAAAAAC